GGAAGGAUCAUUAUCGUGAUAUCCAUACCAACCCUUGUGAACUGUGAUGUCGUGUGGGAUGUGCCAAGAUUCGUUUUGGUACCGCCUUUAUCGGUGAUGAGCAAUCAUUCAUCGACACACGUGUUUUGUGAUUCUAUACACGUUUUAUACCGCUUCUGAGCACCGCGAUAUCUGAUGUAUCGCGUCUUUAAAGCAACUAAAACUCUUGACAGUGGAUAUCUUGGCUCUCGCAACGAUGAAGAACGCAGCGAAAUGCGAUACGUAGUGUGAAUUGCAGAAUUCAGCGAAUCAUCGAAACUUUGAACGCACAUUGCGCUUGUGUGCUUCGGCACCGAGCAUGCCUCUUUCAGGGUCAUCGACUUACAUCUCACCCCCUUUGCAUUCGUGUAAUUGAGUGGAAUGGUGAAUGGGUGUCCUGGCGCACGGUUCGUCCGAGCAACCACGUCACCUGAAGCACAUGGCCAUAAAGGACAACGCCCUUUGUGUGGCUCGACGCAGUAAGAGCACAUUUGUGCACUCUCGUCGUAGCACGGCGCAGUUUCAGCAUGGCGAUCCGCUUGAAUAAAGCCAUAUCCGGUUUGACCUGAAAUGAGGUAGGGCUACCCGCUGAACUUAAGCAUAUAAUUAAGCGGAGGAAAAGAAACUAACAAGGAUUCCCCUAGUAACGGCGAGUGAAGCGGGAAGAGUUCAAGCCUAAAAUCUCCGGUGUUCCACUGGCGAAUUGUAGUCUAUGGGUCAUGUGUGCGUGAGGUACCGGGGGUAAAUUCCUUGGAAUGGGAUCCUACAGAGGGUGAGAGGCCCGUAUGUACCCCGUGUGCCGAACUUCAGUCAUGCAAGGCCUCAGAGUCGGGUUGCUUGGGAGUGCAGCUCUAAGUGGGAGGUAAAUUUCUUCUAAAACUAAAUACGGGCGAGAGACCGAUAGCGUACAAGUACCGUGAGGGAAAGAUGAAAAGGACUUUGAAAAGAGAGUUAAAAGUGCUUGAAGCUGUCAAGGGCUAACCGCAUGGGAAGAGCGUAUGGUUUUGCUGACACUUAGGGCUGAUGGUGUGUGCUGGCGGCGGGAGUAGGGUCAAACCGCUCGUGCCGAUUGUUGCAUAUCGUUGGCUUGCACUUGUCUGCUUGACCGGUCAAGCUGGCUUCUAUGCCGGUGGGAAAAUGGCUAAAGUGCGCGGCGUUAGCUUGCUAGCGUCGGUCUUGGCUGAUACCGCCGGAAGGAGUGAGGAAUCAAGCGUUGUCAUCGCCGCUGCGGUCGGCUGUUUCGCUAGAUGGUGUAGCACUGCCUCUGGUAUGUGUUGCGUCGUCUAGCAGAGCACUCCGGCUGAACAGGGACUUGCUCGCUGAGGAGCUUGACUUGAUCUUUCCAUUCGACCCGUCUUGAAACACGGACCAAGGAGUCUAACAUAUAUGCGAGUGUUUGGGUGGCAAACCCAUGCGCGGAAUGAAAGUAACUGGGUGGGAUCCCGUUUGGGUGCACCAUCGACCGACCAUGAUCCUUGUGUGAAAGGUUUGAGUAAGAGCAUAUCUGUUGGGACCCGAAAGAUGGUGAACUAUGCCUGAGCAGGGCGAAGCCAGGGGAAACUCUGGUGGAGGCUCGCAGCGAUACUGACGUGCAAAUCGUUCGUCAAACUUAGGUAUAGGGGCGAAAGACUAAUCGAACCAUCUAGUAGCUGGUUCCCUC
rnacentral:misc_RNA from 1 species